AUGAACGCUGGCGGCGUGCCUAAUACAUGCAAGUCGAGCGAACAGACGAGGAGCUUGCUCCUCUGACGUUAGCGGCGGACGGGUGAGUAACACGUGGUUAACCUACCUAUAAGACUGGGAUAACUUCGGGAAACCGGAGCUAAUACCGGAUAAUAUAUUGAACCGCAUGGUUCAAUAGUGAAAGACGGUUUUGCUGUCACUUAUAGAUGGAUCCGCGCCGCAUUAGCUAGUUGGUAAGGUAACGGCUUACCAAGGCAACGAUGCGUAGCCGACCUGAGAGGGUGAUCGGCCACACUGGAACUGAGACACGGUCCAGACUCCUACGGGAGGCAGCAGUAGGGAAUCUUCCGCAAUGGGCGAAAGCCUGACGGAGCAACGCCGCGUGAGUGAUGAAGGUCUUCGGAUCGUAAAACUCUGUUAUUAGGGAAGAACAAAUGUGUAAGUAACUAUGCACGUCUUGACGGUACCUAAUCAGAAAGCCACGGCUAACUACGUG
rnacentral:rRNA from 1 species